rnacentral:tRNA from 1 species
GAGGGUAUAGCUCAAUGGUAGAGUGUGUGCUUAGCAUGCACAAGGUCCUGGCUUUGAUCCCCAGUACCUCCA